CAUUAAGUGGCUGAAAUAAAUAAGCAUUGGUCUCUUAAACCAAAACAUAGUUUAAUAACUCUUAAUGA
rnacentral:tRNA from 1 species